UGUUUGAAUUUAAUAGUGGAAAUAUUUUCCUGAAUUCGUGUCUGCUUUUAUGAGUUUUUAUCGUUUAUUCUUCAAACGAAAUUGCUUUUAACCUAGCUGAGGAAGCGGGGUAAAGAGACACGGUGAAAGGAACUGUUUGAAUGUAUUAUCUUAUAUCGUUAUCUCUUGACUCAUGUUGUUCGAACGAUUUCUUACGAAAAUAAUAAUAACCGUCGCAGAGGUCUAAUAUGAUGCUUCUGCGUACCGUUUCUACGUCAUCACCGUUUCGGGCAUAGCUUUAGAAUAUUCUUGCAAGCCUUACAGCAGUAUGCAGUGCAUGAGUGUAUCUCGUUUUUGCUGUCCGUUGAUUUACGCUGUCUAUAAAGGGAGACGACGCCUGAAGGUAUUUAGCGCUAAUCCUUAUUCAAUUUUCAUUUGAUUGUGUGGAAUAUGUUUCUAUUUCGUGAUUGACGGGUUUCGAUUACCGUUGCUUAGAUCUUUUUUGACGCGAUGUCUUCGUGCUUCAACAUGGGAGUCCAUCUUGGCAUCUUGCCCGUUCGUUCAUCUACUGUGAAUUUUUAUAAACUCUUAGUUUAUUUGAGGUCGAAUAAUUAUAGUUUUGUUAAAAUUUUUAAAUUUUCAAAACAGGUUUAGGCGAUGAUUGUAGAUUUUUCGUAUCGAUGUGACCACGCCUCGAAAAAUUGCCUUCGUUUUAUAGCCAAAAUGUGUAAAAUAUUUCUCAAAAAUAUUACUCUGCCUUCAAAAAUUCUUUAUUUCUAUUAGAAAAAUUUUCAUUUUUGCCUCGUUAUUCUAGAGUUUUAACUCGUUUUUUUUUUAAUACAGGCUUGCUGUGAGAUAACAACCUAGGAUUUGAUGGACAAAACUACUACAGAUGUAAUGUCUGUAACAGUGUGACUUAUUUUAUUUCCAAAAAAUGCCACUAAUGGGCUGAUUGAAAAAUUCAUUGGACAUAAGAUGUUAACAAUGGUUUCCAUUAAAACAUUAAAGAACAUGAGGAGGUAAAUCAAAAGGAGUCGAAACGUGGAGAAACAGAGCCCCCCACUCAUACUUUCUUCUCUUGGACUUGGAAAGGACAGUUGUAUUUAUGAAAUGGUUAUCAUUUAAACACUUUAAAUGAACAAGGAGACAAGUAAGAAGGAUUCGAAACCUGGAGAAGUGAAGCCCCUGUAAUGUUUUUUAGAAGAAACAUGCGGUCCAAUUCACACUGAUGGUUGGUUGUUCUAAGGUUGCGCAUGUGAUGUUGUGUCUUCUGCUCUGUGGCUCAUUUCACUGUCAAUGGUAUCAUUAUUCCUUUCAAAAGUAUCUAUUGUUAGAGGUACUCUCUGCUGUCAACGCUUAGGAAUAAAACCCGAACACCUUCGAUAAUCCUCGAGUGUUCAACAAUUGGGAAAGAAAUAAAGUUCAGCUUGGUCCUACUGAAACAACCAAUGUGAUUAGCUGUUUACAUCUUUGUCAACAACAUCAUGAAGUUAAUUUUCAACUGAUGUGUGAGAGCAACUGGAGAUUAACUUGAAUUCCAUGGAAACAACAAAUUUUCUGGGAUGGUAUUCUUGCCGGAUUUGUUUUGCUUUUUACACCUGCAAAGUUUGGGAUGUUACAAUCUACAGUUGAUUAAGGUGAGAAUACUUGAUAUAAUUAAUUUUAAUUGCUCUUUAUUAAUCAAUUUGCUACCGUAUCUG
rnacentral:lncRNA from 1 species